AAGUUUACAAGGAACUAGAGUUC
rnacentral:snRNA from 1 species